GAUGAAGAACGUAGCGAAAUGCGAUAAGUAAUGUGAAUUGCAGAAUUCAGUGAAUCAUCGAAUCUUUGAACGUACAUUGCGCCCGCCAGUAUUCUGGCGGGCAUGCCUGUUCGAGCGUCAUUUCAACCCUCAAGCCCAGCUUGGUGUUGGGGAUCGGCACAGGCGCCCUCGGGCGCCCGCCGUCCCCUAAAUCUAGUGGCGGUCCCGCUGCAGCCUCCUCUGCGUAGUAGUUUUCUCCUCGCAAGGGCAGCUCGGUGGCGACCUCGCCGUAAAACCCCCAACUUCUGAAAGGUUGACCUCGAAUCAGGUAGGAAUACCCGCUGAACUUAAGCAUAUCAAUAAGCGGAGGA
rnacentral:misc_RNA from 1 species